AGUCAUUGAGAGAUUUUGCUUGCCACCUGAUGCAAAAGUUACAUACAAGGAUGCAACAGGGACAGAAGUUGACGCAGAAAUAUUCAGCGACCUCAUUGGACAAGGCAAUGUGGUGCUGACUGUUUUCUCAAAUGAUGGUGAGUUUUAUUAAAUGUGAAAGAAGUCUAGUGUUAUCAAGCAACUCAGGAUAAAUAUGAUAAAUUAGCUAUUUCUUAUUUCUGAUUCUUGUGCUGGUCAUAACAAUUUUUGUAAUAUUUUAAUACUUUAAUUCUUUAGAAUUUUCGGACUCUUUGUCUUCCAUAUCUGAGAAGUCUGACAAUAGCAACAGUUCAAGUGCAUCGACUAUAAUCUUAGAUGAGGUUCCUAAUAAGAGACAAAGAAAAGAGGACACAUCUGCACUGUCUGCAAAACAGGCAACUCCCUACUAAAGCUAUCAGAGAACAGUAUGCUCUUGGCAUAGUGAUGCUGUUCCCUUCCCUCAGAGAUCCAUAUUCCAAGAAAGGCUACAUAAGUCAUCGUCUGCAUGACCCUUUCAUGUUAUACUUGCAAUGUUAUGAUAUCUGUGACAUAGAAAUUUGAUUCUUUUAAGGAACACUUUUAUGAUGCUGCAAGCAACACAGGAUACAUUGCUUGGCGUAUAAAAACAGUCCACAGGAAGAUUCAACGUGGAUUUUUGCCACUAGACAGCCCUCAUGAUGUUUCUCCAGGAGGCCCAAAAUGCCAAAGGGCUACUAAUUUUGAAGGGCAACUUGAUGGGGAUGCUUGUAGAGAGGCCAUGUCUUUGCUCAACCAUACCACAGACAAGUCCCUAAUAUUCCAAAAGAUGAGAGAGACCUUUCAGCAUCGCCAGAAGCUUGUCAAAGAUCCAGGCUCUAGUGCUGAUAUCCUCUCCACCUUCCCAAGAUUCCUAGAUACAAAAGAGCUGGUGGAUCAAGACUUCUCUCUCCUGUUUGACGCUGAGACAUCCUCCAGGCUGCUUCAGAAGUGGGACACGUUCUUCAGGCCAAAUGUCAUUAAAGAUGCCAAGCAACUUACUUCAACAGCAGAGCUGAGUCAGUUGUUGCUCUCAGCAGAAUGUCCUGA
ensembl:lncRNA